ACACGUAUGAAGGUCAAGCUGAAAGACUUUACUCAAUGAUGUAAGUGGUGGUGCAUGGUCGUUCUUAGUUCGUGGAUUGAUUUGUCUGGUCUAUUCCGAUAACGAGCGAGACCCCGGCGUUCCUAAUAGGGGUGGCAGCCAAGCCGGUCGCAAGAUCGGUUAGCUCGUCGCCUGAAGUUAUACUUCUUAGACGUAUCAGAGCCGACAAGGUUCUUGAAAUGGGUUAAUAACAGGUCAGUCAUGCCCUUAGAUGUUCUGGGCCGCACGCGCGUUACAAUGGCAUGUAUACCGAGUGCUUGAAUAAGGCGUCCCCGGGGCCGAAAGGUCUCGGUAACCCUUAGUCCCUGCUUUGACUGGGACAGAUCUUUGCAAUUAUUGGUCUCAAACGAGGAAUUUUUAGUAAUCGUAGGUCAUUAACCUGCGUUGA
rnacentral:rRNA from 1 species